rnacentral:rRNA from 1 species
UACGGAGGGGGCUAGCGUUGUUCGGCAUUACUGGGCGUAAAGCGCACGUAGGCGGCUUUGUAAGUUAGAGGUGAAAGCCCAGGGCUUAACCCUGGAAUUGCCUUUAAGACUGCAUCGCUAGAAUCGUGGAGAGGUGAGUGGAAUUCCGAGUGUAGAGGUGAAAUUCGCAGAUAUUCGGAAGAACACCAGUGGCGAAGGCGACUCACUGGACACGUAUUGACGCUGAGGUGCGAAAGCGUGGGGAGCAAACAGG